CAAAGACACAAAGACUGUGUCAGAAGAUGUGAAGGAGAGAGUUGAUACCAAAGACAAGAACAAUAUAACACUUAUAAAGACUCUAAGUAUUGAGGAGCUAGUUGAUGUUAAAGACACAAAAACUGUGACAGAGGACCUGAAGGAGAGAG